rnacentral:rRNA from 1 species
GGUUAAGCGACUAAGCGUACACGGUGGAUGCCCUGGCAGUCAGAGGCGAUGAAGGACGUGCUAAUCUGCGAUAAGCGUCGGUGAGGUGAUAUGAACCGUUAUAACCGGCGAUUUCCGAAUGGGGAAACCCAGUGUGUUUCGACACACUAUCAUUAACUGAAUCCAUAGGUUAAUGAGGCGAACCGGGGGAACUGAAACAUCUAAGUACCCCGAGGAAAAGAAAUCAACCGAGAUUCCCCCAGUAGCGGCGAGCGAACGGGGAGGAGCCCAGAGCCUGAAUCAGUGUGUGUGUUAGUGGAAGCGUCUGGAAAGGCGUGCGAUACAGGGUGACAGCCCCGUACACAAAAAUGCACAUAUUGUGAGCUCGAUGAGUAGGGCGGGACACGUGGUAUCCUGUCUGAAUAUGGGGGGACCAUCCUCCAAGGCUAAAUACUCCUGACUGACCGAUAGUGAACCAGUACCGUGAGGGAAAGGCGAAAAGAACCCCGGCGAGGGGAGUGAAAAAGAACCUGAAACCGUGUACGUACAAGCAGUGGGAGCCUCUUAAUGGGGUGACUGCGUACCUUUUGUAUAAUGGGUCAGCGACUUAUAUUCUGUAGCAAGGUUAACCGAAUAGGGGAGCCGAAGGGAAACCGAGUCUUAACUGGGCGUUAAGUUGCAGGGUAUAGACCCGAAACCCGGUGAUCUAGCCAUGGGCAGGUUGAAGGUUGGGUAACACUAACUGGAGGACCGAACCGACUAAUGUUGAAAAAUUAGCGGAUGACUUGUGGCUGGGGGUGAAAGGCCAAUCAAACCGGGAGAUAGCUGGUUCUCCCCGAAAGCUAUUUAGGUAGCGCCUCGUGAAUUCAUCUCCGGGGGUAGAGCACUGUUUCGGCAAGGGGGUCAUCCCGACUUACCAACCCGAUGCAAACUGCGAAUACCGGAGAAUGUUAUCACGGGAGACACACGGCGGGUGCUAACGUCCGUCGUGAAGAGGGAAACAACCCAGACCGCCAGCUAAGGUCCCAAAGUCAUGGUUAAGUGGGAAACGAUGUGGGAAGGCCCAGACAGCCAGGAUGUUGGCUUAGAAGCAGCCAUCAUUUAAAGAAAGCGUAAUAGCUCACUGGUCGAGUCGGCCUGCGCGGAAGAUGUAACGGGGCUAAACCAUGCACCGAAGCUGCGGCAGCGACACUAUGUGUUGUUGGGUAGGGGAGCGUUCUGUAAGCCUGUGAAGGUGGCCUGUGAGGGUUGCUGGAGGUAUCAGAAGUGCGAAUGCUGACAUAAGUAACGAUAAAGCGGGUGAAAAGCCCGCUCGCCGGAAGACCAAGGGUUCCUGUCCAACGUUAAUCGGGGCAGGGUGAGUCGACCCCUAAGGCGAGGCCGAAAGGCGUAGUCGAUGGGAAACAGGUUAAUAUUCCUGUACUUGGUGUUACUGCGAAGGGGGGACGGAGAAGGCUAUGUUGGCCGGGCGACGGUUGUCCCGGUUUAAGCGUGUAGGCUGGUUUUCCAGGCAAAUCCGGAAAACCAAGGCUGAGGCGUGAUGACGAGGCACUACGGUGCUGAAGCGACAAAUGCCCUGCUUCCAGGAAAAGCCUCUAAGCAUCAGGUAACAUCAAAUCGUACCCCAAACCGACACAGGUGGUCAGGUAGAGAAUACCAAGGCGCUUGAGAGAACUCGGGUGAAGGAACUAGGCAAAAUGGUGCCGUAACUUCGGGAGAAGGCACGCUGAUAUGUAGGUGAAGCGACUUGCUCGUGGAGCUGAAAUCAGUCGAAGAUACCAGCUGGCUGCAACUGUUUAUUAAAAACACAGCACUGUGCAAACACGAAAGUGGACGUAUACGGUGUGACGCCUGCCCGGUGCCGGAAGGUUAAUUGAUGGGGUUAGCGGUAACGCGAAGCUCUUGAUCGAAGCCCCGGUAAACGGCGGCCGUAACUAUAACGGUCCUAAGGUAGCGAAAUUCCUUGUCGGGUAAGUUCCGACCUGCACGAAUGGCGUAAUGAUGGCCAGGCUGUCUCCACCCGAGACUCAGUGAAAUUGAACUCGCUGUGAAGAUGCAGUGUACCCGCGGCAAGACGGAAAGACCCCGUGAACCUUUACUAUAGCUUGACACUGAACAUUGAGCCUUGAUGUGUAGGAUAGGUGGGAGGCUUUGAAGUGUGGACGCCAGUCUGCAUGGAGCCGACCUUGAAAUACCACCCUUUAAUGUUUGAUGUUCUAACGUUGGCCCGUAAUCCGGGUUGCGGACAGUGUCUGGUGGGUAGUUUGACUGGGGCGGUCUCCUCCUAAAGAGUAACGGAGGAGCACGAAGGUUGGCUAAUCCUGGUCGGACAUCAGGAGGUUAGUGCAAUGGCAUAAGCCAGCUUGACUGCGAGCGUGACGGCGCGAGCAGGUGCGAAAGCAGGUCAUAGUGAUCCGGUGGUUCUGAAUGGAAGGGCCAUCGCUCAACGGAUAAAAGGUACUCCGGGGAUAACAGGCUGAUACCGCCCAAGAGUUCAUAUCGACGGCGGUGUUUGGCACCUCGAUGUCGGCUCAUCACAUCCUGGGGCUGAAGUAGGUCCCAAGGGUAUGGCUGUUCGCCAUUUAAAGUGGUACGCGAGCUGGGUUUAGAACGUCGUGAGACAGUUCGGUCCCUAUCUGCCGUGGGCGCUGGAGAACUGAGGGGGGCUGCUCCUAGUACGAGAGGACCGGAGUGGACGCAUCACUGGUGUUCGGGUUGUCAUGCCAAUGGCACUGCCCGGUAGCUAAAUGCGGAAGAGAUAAGUGCUGAAAGCAUCUAAGCACGAAACUUGCCCCGAGAUGAGUUCUCCCUGACUCCUUGAGGGUCCUGAAGGAACGUUGAAGACGACGACGUUGAUAGGCCGGGUGUGUAAGCGCAGCGAUGCGUUGAGCUAACCGGUACU